AUCGCUUCUCGGCCUUUUGGCUAAGAUCAAGUGUAAAACAUUUUUAACUAAAAGUGAAAAUACAACAUAA
rnacentral:sRNA from 1 species